GUGCCAGCCGCCGCGGUAAUACGUAGGGUGCAGGCGUUAAUCGGAAUUACUGGGCGUAAAGCGUGCGUAGGCGGUUUGUUAAGACAGGUGUGAAAUCCCCGGGCUUAACCUGGGAACUGCGCUUGUUACUGGCAGACUGGAGUGUGGCAGAGGGGGGUGGAAUUCCACGUGUAGCAGUGAAAUGCGUAGAUAUGUGGAGGAACACCGAUGGCGAAGGCAGCCCCCUGGGCUAACACUGACGCUGAUGCACGAAAGCGUGGGGAGCAAACAGGAUUAGAUACCCCCGUAGUCC
rnacentral:rRNA from 1 species